UACGUAGGGUGCGAGCGUUAAUCGGAAUUACUGGGCGUAAAGCGUGCGCAGGCGGUUACAUAAGCCAGAUGUGAAAUCCCCGGGCUUUACCUGGGAACUGCAUUUGGGACUGUGUGGCUUGAGUAUGGCAGAGGGAGGUGGAAUUCCACGUGUAGCAGUGAAAUGCGUAGAGAUGUGGAGGAACACCGAUGGCGAAGGCAGCCUCCUGGGCCAAUACUGACGCUCAUGCACGAAAGCGUGGGGAGCAAACAGG
rnacentral:rRNA from 1 species